UCGGUCCUCACGGGGCGUCCCGGGCGGCUGGCGUCCCGCCCUAAGGAGCGGCCGUACCUUCGCCCGCAGCCGUCUGAUUUGAGAAGAGGAAGUUAUGGAAGGUUCAGCCCAUGCCCCCACUGGAAACACGUAACUCAUGUUACUCUGCUUAUACCGACAAGCACAACAGAUAAAUACCUGAAGAAACAGAUGCCAAUGCUACGGAAUGCGCCACUCGGCAGUUAAGAAUUCUUUUAGUCACUGAAUGAUACCAGAGAAGUUUAUCAUUUGGGAGCCAGAGAAUGCAACAGAUUAACCUGAAAAUGCAAAGCCUGAGAACUCAAAUAGCAACAGGAGCAUGAUGUUAAACUCAUGGUUUGGCAAUAUUUCUUGAAGUCAGUUUCCUGAUUUUGGGGGCCCUGACAACUUCAGCUAAUACUGAAUUAUAAGCAGUACAGAAUUUGGAGUUAAAAAAGGCAUUUAUAAUUCUACAUUUCUAUGAUCUAGCUGGAGUUGUAACUGAACAGCAUAGUAAAGGGAAAAUUUUGCAAGCAAAGAAGUUAGCACAAGCCAAGAUUCUAUUUUUUUUCACCAAGACUACAAAGAAUGAUGUCUAAGUAAGUUACAGUUCAGGGAAAGUAGAUAAGGCCAGGAUGGAGCAUUGAAGGAAAAUAAAGCUGAAGGAUUUUCAUCAGUUUAGCACUAGUUUAUUUUGACAGCAGCAUAAUACAAUAGAACCAGGUAAUUCAGACAGAACUGAUUAAUCUGAUUGCAUAGGGUACUUUUUUCACUUGCUUUAAGGAACAUUCACUGUGCUUAUCAUGCAACUGUUGAGUGGUUGUACCAAUUUUUAAAGACUGGUUGUAAUGGGUUAAAAGCUUCUGAUUCCUUAUUUCUUAUCAGAAACAUUAAAAGGACCCCUCAGGAUUUUUUUUUCUUAAGGGAAAUGUGAUCUGAAGAGGAAGGGGAAAGUUCAGAAUAGUUCCAUCUGAGCCUUGUUCUCCUGGCAGCCAUCAUUUUGUCCACACUACCUUAUUGCUUCCAUUUGGAGUUGAAAGCAUAUGAGAUGCAGCCCUGCAAGAGCAAGCAGAGGAGCUGAUUUCUAGAUCAUCAAGAGUACCUGAGAGACUCUCACAAAGCAGCAGUGCUACCUGACACUUCCCCACAUAGAAUCAUAACAUUGUUUGGGUUGGAAGGGACCGCAAAGAUCAUCUAGUUCCAACCCCCACCAUAGACAGGGACACCUCCCACUAGAACAAAUCACUCAAGACCUCAUUUAAUCUAGCCUUGAACACCUCCAGGGAGGGAGCAUCCAUAACCUCCCUGGGCAACCUGUUCCAGUGUCUCACCACCCUCAUUGUAAAGAACUUCUUCCUAACAUUUAGUUUAAAUCUCCCCUCUGCCAGUUUAAACCCAUUACUCCUUAUUCUGUCAUUACAAGGCCUUGUAAAUAGUCCCUCCCCAGCCUUCUUGUAGGCCCCAU